AUUUGGGAAUUGUAGUUCACUCACUGUGUGUCGCCUAGAAGUGACAUCAUCGGGCAGUGCUGUGGUAUUGACAUCUCGCCAGACCAAGCACAAGUUUUGCUGUGAAGCUAACUUGUACGUCCUAGCUGUGUUGCUACGUGUUGCGAACAGAAACGGCUACGACGGCUACUGACCAGCUAGUGCCUUCAGGCACAUGUGAAAGCAGACAAGGAGUUUGUCUCACUGACACAGCAGAUGAUGGAACUACCGCAACAACAGGACAAUUUCACAGCACUACUUCAACAGCAGAAAAACCUGAUAAGCUUUGUGACAAUAAUCAUUGGACUCAACAACAAAAAAACAGACUGGGUGCACUUUUACUGGAGAUACAGAAGGUUCCAUGCAAAAGGAGAGCAAAGAGAAAGAGAAUCAGAUAUGAUGGAAGCUCUGCCGUCCCUCCACCUGAUCCACCCAUCCGCCAGAUCUACUGAUAGAGGCUGAUGGAGAGCGUACACGCUUCAGACAGGAUAUUAGGUUGGACAUUUCCUUCUUCCACACGCCACAGGCAGGCUCUUCUACCAUUCAAAUUCUCUGCAGGAGAAAGAAGAAAAGAUAAAGAUGUGAGUGAAGCUGACAGGCUCCUGGACUCACUGUCACCGUUGCACUUUGGAUUUUGAGACAGUUUCUGAUUUGAUCCUGAGAGGUUGAUUUGUGUUAUAACCAGACAAGGAAUGAUGUUCAUCUCCAUGUCUG